GACGAACGCUGGCGGCGUGCCUAAUACAUGCAAGUCGAGCGAAGUUUUUCUGGUGCUUGCACUAGAAAAACUUAGCGGCGAACGUGUGAGUAACACGUAAAGAACCUGCCUCAUAGACUGGGACAACUAUUGGAAACGAUAGCUAAUACCGGAUAACAGCAUUAACUGCAUGGUUGAUGUUUAAAAGUUGGUUUUGCUAACACUAUGAGAUGGCUUUGCGGUGCAUUAGCUAGUUGGUGGGGUAAAGGCCUACCAAGGCGACGAUGCAUAGCCGACCUGAGAGGGUGAUCGGCCACACUGGGACUGAGACACGGCCCAGACUCCUACGGGAGGCAGCAGUAGGGAAUCUUCCGCAAUGGGCGAAAGCCUGACGGAGCAACGCCGCGUGAGUGAAGAAGGAUUUCGGUUCGUAAAGCUCUGUUGUUAGGGAAGAAUGAUUGUGUAGUAACUAUACACAGUAGAGACGGUACCUAACCAGAAAGCCACGGCUAACUACGUG
rnacentral:rRNA from 1 species